AACCACUGCCCAGGCCACCGCAGCAGCCCAGGGCCCUUCAGCAAGCCCUGCUGUGCUGCUCGGCUGGUUCUUUGCCUGCAGUGACUGAGUGUGAAUUUUAAUGACUUGCCUGAGAUUGAGGAGGAUUCUCAGCCUUUCUUCCCCAAGUUAAUGACAGCAUGCCUCUUAAUAUGGGAUAAGCUCCAUACAAACCAGCUCUUUUCCUAAGCUAGAACAAACCAAAAGAUUUCAAAAAUAUUUCAUGCAGAUUUUUAGGGGAAAAUCCUACCUGUACUUACCUCUCAACAUUUAAACCUUCAUCCCUUCUCUAAUCCAUCCUCUGCGAUCUGAGGGAAAAAAAAGCACUGGGGAAGCUGUUUCCUUAUCUCUCAAUCUCGCCUGCCUUUACUUCAACCCACGUCAAAACUGCAAGAAACACUGCAUAAAAAUUAUUUUUUGUUUGUUUUGCAAUUUUCCUUCAAACAUAGCAUGGGCUCUGCUGAGAGCAUGACAUCAUCUCCAACAGGAAUGGUUUGAGAUAGAACCAUAAAAUCAGUAAGGUUAGAAAAGACCUCUAAGAUCAUCUAGUCCUGCCAUAAGUCAAUCCUGUGCCAGGAGACAGAGGAACCGUACUUGCCCAUCAACAAGCAGCCACUGCCUAUGCUACCCACCCUCCUCACCGUGUUCUGCUCUUGUAAAGCCUUGCAACUGCAGACAGAAUCAGUGUAGAAAACAUCUUUCAUUGUAAAAGCAGAUACAGAAAAAAAUAAUACUUGGUUUUCACAUCCACUGUUUCUAAGGCUGCAGUAUCCCAACGGCCAGAAACAAUUGGUUCCUCGGAAAUCAAAAACCUCAUUACUUUCUUACUACACCUGAAAACUACUGGUCAGCUAGAACAUUAAUGCAUGUUUCAGGCAGAAGCUCUGCCUCUGAAAAUGGAAGGAAGCUGUCUGCAGGAAGCAAACGGAGAUUUAAGUAUUUAAGCUUAAAGCGAUGUUGCAAAAAUCACAUGAAUAUUUUCUUUCCAAUUUCAGGGUAACACUCUUCUGCAUGAAAUAAGUGCUAAUCUGAAAAUCUACUAAGCAUUGCUAUUUACCUUACUGGUUUUGAGGGAGGCGUUUUGUUUUUUGAUGGUUACUAUAAUUAUUGUUGUUGUUGUUGUUGUUAUUAUUAUUGAAAUAUUUGGAAUUUUAAACCAAGACAUGGGACAUAUGAAUCUAAACAUGAAAUAAAAAUGACAAAAUUUAGC
rnacentral:lncRNA from 7 species